rnacentral:rRNA from 2 species
AACCGGGGCUAAUACCGGAUGGUUGUUUGAACCGCAUGGUUCAAACUAAAUAGGUGGCUUCGGCUACCACUUACAGAUGGACCCGCGGCGCAUUAGCUAGUUGGUGAGGUAACGGCUCACCAAGGCAACGAUGCGUAGCCGACCUGAGAGGGUGAUCGGCCACACUGGGACUGAGACACGGCCCAGACUCCUACGGGAGGCAGCAGUAGGGAAUCUUCCGCAAUGGACGAAAGUCUGACGGAGCAACGCCGCGUGAGUGAUGAAGGUUUUCGGAUCGUAAAGCUCUGUUGUUAGGGAAGAACAAGUACCGUUCGAAUAGGGCGGUACCUUGACGGUACCUAACCAGAAAGCCACGGCUAACUACGUGCCAGCAGCCGCGGAAAUACGUAGGUGGCAAGCGUUGUCCGGAAUUAUUGGGCGUAAAGGGCUCGCAGGCGGUUUCUUAAGUCUGAUGUGAAAGCCCCCGGCUCAACCGGGGAGGGUCAUUGGAAACUGGGGAACUUGAGUGCAGAAGAGGAGAGUGGAAUUGGACGUGUAGCGGUGAAAUGCGUAGAGAUGUGGAGGAACACCAGUGGCGAAGGCGACUCUCUGGUCUGUAACUGACGCUGAGGAGCGAAAGCGUGGGGAGCGAACAGGAUUAGAUACCCUGGUAGUCCACGCCGUAAACGAUGAGUGCUAAGUGUUAGGGGGUUUCCGCCCCUUAGUGCUGCAGCUUACGCAUUAAGCACUCCGCCUGGGGAGUACGGUCGCAAGACUGAAACUCAAAGGAAUUGACGGGGGCCCGCACAAGCGGUGGAGCAUGUGGUUUAAUUCGAAGCAACGCGAAGAACCUUACCAGGUCUUGACAUCCUCUGACAAUCCUAGAGAUAGGACGUCCCCUUCGGGGGCAGAGUGACAGGUGGUGCAUGGUUGUCGUCAGCUCGUGUCGUGAGAUGUUGGGUUAAGUCCCGCAACGAGCGCAACCCUUGAUCUUAGUUGCCAGCAUUCAGUUGGGCACUCUAAGGUGACUGCCGGUGACAAACCGGAGGAAGGUGGGGAUGACGUCAAAUCAUCAUGCCCCUUAUGACCUGGGCUACACACGUGCUACAAUGGACAGAACAAAGGGCAGCGAAACCGCGAGGUUAAGCCAAUCCCACA